rnacentral:rRNA from 1 species
UACGAAGGGUGCAAGCGUUACUCGGAAUUACUGGGCGUAAAGCGUGCGUAGGUGGUGAGUUAAGUCUGUCGUGAAAGCCCCGGGCUCAACCUGGGAAUGGCGAUGGAUACUGGCUCGCUGGAGUGCGGUAGAGGAGAGUGGAAUUCCCGGUGUAGCAGUGAAAUGCGUAGAGAUCGGGAGGAACAUCAGUUGCGAAGGCGGCUCUCUGGACCAGCACUGACACUGAGGCACGAAAGCGUGGGGAGCAAACAGG